CCCUCCCAUCCUAUUUUUAGAUAUUCUGGGAACCACCAGUAAACCUGCAGUCUGAGAGUGAAGUGCUCUGUUGGGAACAUAUGGAACAAUCAGGCAGCCAAUGUAGGGAAGCUAAGACAGGAGAGAUAUGAAUGUGUCCGAAUCCGUGGGCAGGACUCCUGUGAGGCCGGGUCCUUGCUAGACUGCUAAGACCGGAACCCAGCGGCUCUGAAUUCGGACAGUCUAGCCUUCACCUCCUGUCACAGCCGUGGCGGCAGCUACACGCAAAGGAAAAAUGCUAAAGCUAGCGAAAAUGGAGCAGGAAUAUUAAGGAGCUACAGCAGCUUCACGUCCAUCAGCAGCGUUUGUUCACAACCGUUUUCAGGUCAGCAUGCACUGUGCUGCACAUCUGCCUCUGUGCUGGUGAAGUUGUGGGUCUGGAGGAUGAGCCUGAGGAAGAUGUGUGUGGAGGAGGUCAGUGGUGCUCUGUCCUGCAGGAGGUACCAGCAGACCACCACUAUUGUUAACAGGCAAG